CAGCCGUAAACUAUGCGCGUUAGGUGUACUGGUGACCACGAGUCACCGGGGUGCCGAAGGGAAACCGUGAAACGUGCCGCCUGGGAAGUACGGUCGCAAGGCUGAAACUUAAAGGAAUUGGCGGGGGAGGCACCACAACGGGUGGAGCCUGCGGUUUAAUUUGGACUCAACGCCGGAAAUCUCACCAGGGGAGGACUGUUACAUGAAACCCAGACUAAUGAUCUUGGUUGAUUUUCUAGAGAGGAGGUGCAUGGC
rnacentral:rRNA from 1 species